rnacentral:rRNA from 1 species
AGAAUCAACGCUGGCGGCGUGCCUAACACAUGCAAGUCGAACGAGAAAGUGGAGCAAUCCAUGAGUAAAGUGGCGCACGGGUGAGUAACACGUGACUAACCUACCCUUGAGUGGGGGAUAACCUAGGGAAACCUGGGCUAAUACCGCAUAAUACCUUCGGGUCAAAGGAGCAAUUCGCUUAAGGAGGGGGUCGCGGCCGAUUAGUUAGUUGGCGGGGUAAUGGCCCACCAAGACUGUGAUCGGUAUCC